rnacentral:rRNA from 1 species
AAUAGAUACCCCGGUAGUCCACCCCGUAAACGUUGGGAACUAGUUGUGGGGUCCUUUCCACGGAUUCCGUGACGCAGCUAACGCAUUAAGUUCCCCGCCUGGGGAGUACGGCCGCAAGGCUAAAACUCAAAGGAAUUGACGGGGACCCGCACAAGCGGCGGAGCAUGCGGAUUAAUUCGAUGCAACGCGAAGAACCUUACCAAGGCUUGACAUACACCAGAACACCCUAGAAAUAGGGGACUCUUUGGACACUGGUGAACAGGUGGUGCAUGGUUGUCGUCAGCUCGUGUCGUGAGAUGUUGGGUUAAGUCCCGCAACGAGCGCAACCCUCGUUCUAUGUUGCCAGCACGUAAUGGUGGGAACUCAUGGGAUACUGCCGGGGUCAACUCGGAGGAAGGUGGGGAUGACGUCAAAUCAUCAUGCCCCUUAUGUCUUGGGCUUCACGCAUGCUACAAUGGCCGGUACAAAGGGCUGCAAUACCGUGAGGUGGAGCGAAUCCCAAAAAGCCGGUCCCAGUUCGGAUUGAGGUCUGCAACUCGACCUCA